CGCGCGCGGCGACCCGUCUGUCUCCUUUUUUUUCUUUUUUAAAUGUAACGUGGUUUAUUGGGCUCUCGGCGUAUUCUUGCGUUCCUUCUGCACUGGGACAAGAUACCACUGCACUACUGGACUACGGCAAGCUGGUGCCGUCCGGUGGAGCUUCAUACAGGAACUACUGCCUUACCUGCUGGUGUCACAACGUUGGAUGAACGCACAAAAAGCGCGGAACGAGCUUUUAUAUAGAGCAAAAUA